UCUAUAUAAACUAGAGAGGCUAUUGAAAUCUUUUUUCAAAACCACGUUGUUGUCAUAAAUCAGAAUAAAAAAACUUAGCAUUCGUUUGUAUCUGUUGGCACUCUCAUUAUAUUAUUAGAGACAACAGCUCAUUUCUUUUUCGUUGCUGUCACCAUUGCCAUACAUCUCAACUGCUACUCAACUCUUGAUUGUCUUCACAUAGGUUUAAAACAAAAAGAAGAAAAUAACCUUGUUAUUAAUAUAGAGGUCUAAUUGAGACAAAUAAAUAUAAGUGAAAAAAAAAAAGUUGAGUGGGGCAAUUUCAUACGCCCCACUUGAUAAAAGAGAGCAAAGAUGAUAUGGUGGCCGAGCUGGCUCUCCGCUUAGUGAACAUGUAAAAUAUAAAUAAAUAAAUGUGUGCCAGCCAUAGUUUAAUUGUAGUUGCUCAUGAUCAGAUCGCCUACAUAUGCAAUCCUUAGUGUUACAUACUUCUGGACGUGAUGCAUCUCUUUUUAUUUCAGAUAAAUUGCAAGAUUUAGAGGACUUACAUUCGGCAUCUAGAGAUUUUUAUGGACCAACCCACGCUACAUGUUUAGUAGCUGUGCAUUUGGCUUCAAUCUGUGUUAAACAACGCUGUUGGGCUUGUCUGAAAUAGCACAACACAAAGCAGACCCAACUUAGGCCUCUUUGGACACAAACGCACUGUAUAUAUCAUAAAAGGUUAAUUAAUAAAAUAAAAUAAAAUGAGUCUUUCAGCUCCUAACAGAUCCUGAAUUUUCGGGGAUAUCAGGAUCCCACAGAUUUUCUGUGAGAUCCUCUUCUAAUUAAAAAAAUAAUAAUAAUAAAACUUGUGCAAUCAUCACAAGAAUUGUUUGUGUAGAUUUGUUGCUCUGUAAAUAGAGAGGGCACGGAGAAUCGNUUCAAAAAAAAAAAAAAAAAAAAAACCUUAGCUUUCGUUUGUAUCCGUUGGCACUCUCAUUACAUUAUUAGAGACAACAGCUCAUUUGUUUUUCAUUGUUGUCACUAUUGCCAUACAUCUCAACUGCUACUCUACUCUUGAUUGUCUUUACAUAGAUUUAAGAAAAAAAAGAAAAUACCCAUGUUAUUAAUAUAGAGGUCUAAUUGAGACAAAUAAAUAUAAGUGAAAAAAAUAAAAGUUGAGUGGGGCAAUUUCAUACGCCCCACUUCGUAAAAGAGAGCAAUGAUCAUGGUGGCCGACCUGGCUCUAUCUAUAAGUGAACAUGUAAAAUGUAAUUAAAUAAAUGUGUGCCAGCCGUAGUUUAAUUGUAGUUGCUCAUGAUUAAAUUGCCUACAGCUGCAAUCCUUACUGUUACAUACUUCUGCACGUUAUACAUCUCCUUUUGUUACCGGUAAAUUGCAAGUUUUAGAGGACUUACAUGCAGCAUCUAGAGAUUUUUAAUGAACUUGCUC
rnacentral:lncRNA from 1 species